GGAUGCCUGGUUAAAUUUGAAUUUCAGAUAAAUAAUAAAAAUGUUUUAGUAUAUUUUAUGUCCCAUGCCAUAUUUGGGACAUACUUCUACUAAAAAUUAUUUGUUUGAAAUUCUAAUUUAAUUG
rnacentral:miRNA from 1 species